AUUGAACGCUUGCGGCAGGCCUAACACAUGCAAGUCGAACGAGUGGCGGACGGGUGAGUAAUGUCUGGGAAACUGCCUGAUGGAGGGGGAUAACUACUGGAAACGGUAGCUAAUACCGCAUACCCUCAGAUGUGCCCAGAUGGGAUUGGCUAGUUGGUGGGGUACCGGCGCACCAAGGCGACGAUCCCUAGCUGGUCUUAGAGGAUGACCAGCAAACCUGGAAGUGAGACACGGUCCAGAAUCUUACGGGAGGCAGCAGUGGGGAAGAUUGAACAAUGGGCGCAAGCCUGAGGCAGCCAUGCCGCGUGUAUGAAGAAGGCCUUCGGGUUGUAAAGUACUUUCAGCGGGGAGGCGUUACCCGCAGAAGAAGCACCGGCUAACUCCGUGCCAGCAGCCGCGGUAAUAC
rnacentral:rRNA from 1 species